UCUCACAUUUUCUUCCCACCCACCAAACUCAUCCAAAUUCUUCUCUUCUUUUUCUUUCCGGCCAAAGAACAGGUGCGGCGUUUUAGAACUAGCCUGUUCAGUCCCCUCUCUCUCUCGAUCUCGAUCUCGAUCUCGACGAGAGAAGUUCAGACUUCGGCUGAUCUCCACUUUAUCCAGUAGCCACCACCGUCCCAAUCACAGAUUGAAGGUGAGAGGCAGUGCGAUGGCAUUCCAUUGAAAUUCGGUCAUGAGACUCAUGACAAACAUGGCCGUGUCAAUUUCUUCUCCUUUAACAAGGUGGAGCUCCCUGCACUUCCCUAACAUCACUGUUAUGAAGAAAGAUGCAUUGGUGAAGCAUCUUUGGAGGUCCUAGCUUCUUGGCAGAGAUACUGUGAAGGAGCGACCGAGUUGGAUAGAGGAUUCGAAUGAGGGCUGGAGGUGGGGUUGGGUAUUUGGUGGAGGGAUUCGGGGCGGGGGAAGGAGAGAGGAAAUCAGGGGUGGGAAAUUCACGAAUAGAUUUGGGAAUUUUGGAGACGGUUGUGUUAUUGGACAGGAGUUUGGCCUGGCGGAGGUGGGUGGAGGUGGUGGUGUAGUGGACAGGGAUGUUGUAGGACGAGGAGAUGAUUUAGGAGAGGUGGUGGAGCUGAUUGAGAUGGUUUUGGCAUGGAAAUGGCACAAUUAUCACCACCACUUCUCCCAGCUAGCUGUUUGGAGAUACUACUGAGGUCAUGACUUGGAUCUUUGUUAUGAAUCUUCACGAAACUCUCUCUCUCUCUCUCUCUCUCUCUCUCUCUCUCUCUCUCUCUCUCUCUCUCUCCUAUAGUAUUAUCAUGGAUCUUUGUUAUGAAUCUUCAUGUAUUAUCAAUUUUGUUAUUGUCACAGCAACAAUGAGUACAUUCUUUCAUUUUUUUGAACGACAAUUUUUUUUUUUAUUAAUCUUUGAAGUUGUUACAAAGACUAAAAGGAAUAAAGAGUGAUACAUUAAAUUCCUAAGUAAAGUUAAGAACUAUCUUGUGCCUAUUCAAGACCCAAAUCUUUGGGACAAGCCCAUAAUCCUAAGCCCAAAAGCAGAGCACCAAAAGAACUAAAGAAAAA